CACAGCAGGCUGAGGUCAUAAGAAGGGGUGGGAAGUCCCUGGGAGGUGCGGGAAGGGGCUGGGUCCCGGACACCUUGUAGCGCCAGAGCCAGCCCCAGGACUUCACUUCAAGGAGCCGUAAUGUGCACACAGCACCUCCAGACCCAUGAGCAAGGGUUAGCUUGCUUGGAGCAGGAGAGCUGAAGAAAGGAGAACAUCCAGGGCCAGAGAGAACAUGCUGCACACCCUUCCCCCACCACGUACAACCAGACUGACAGCAGGGACAGACUGGCUGCUCUGUCAUCCCCAGUUCAGCCGAGAGGCACCUCCCCCUACUGCCGCAGCAGUCCCAGCAGACCGCCUGCCCUGAGAUCCAGCCACUGGCACGGGGCAGGGCACCCAAGCCUGCAGCACAGUUUCUGUGAAGGUGGCACCGACCACUUUCACCUGCCUCGAUGUCAUGCCCAGGUGUCUCCUUUCUGGGUGUGGGCAGGCAGCCCUCCCCUGCCUCACCUCAGACCGUCCAAAUUCCAGGUCUCAGAAUCCUGAGCAGCCUGGCCCCUAAGCCCCACUGGAAGAGAUGAAGAAAUGGCUCUCUUUUGGAGGGACUCCUUGUCAUAGAUUAAAUUCAUCGCCAAUACUUGCCCCCUACUCCAUCAAAAGAAGCCCCCAGGGGUGGGGAAGUAAAGUUAGACUUUUAUA